UUAAACUUUCUAAUCUCUAUUUUGCUUCAGUUUCUCCAGUAUUAUAUUUUGGAGGCUCCAGCGAGAUGAGAGUGAGAUUAGAGACCUUUGGGUCUCUGCCUGGAACUGUGGGGCGACUGAGAUCUGGACCUUUUGUUGGAGGGGCUAGCCCUGGUUUGUUCCAGAAUUCCCAUGAAGGACAGCAAGGCUCGUCAUGGACACCUCUAUUUUGGCCACAGGAGAAGGCUCCAGGAAGAGAGCAGUUCACCAGCUGGGGCCACACCCGACAGUGGAUACUUUCGAUUCGGCCAGGGGAGAGUAAGACACAAUCUUAGCACCUGGAUUCUCAGAAUAAUAGAAUGCUGACAGAAUGAUGGACAUUGGAUUCUGAGAAGACUACAUCUGGCAAAACAACAACCACCACCCACCGCCACCGUUUGGAUUAUGGGAGAGGGGGGCAGACUGGAGCUUGACUGCUGGAUAGUCUUAGAUUUUGAUCAAAUUAUAGCUACAUUGACCUGCUUCUGGGACCUGAAUCAGUCCAUUUGGAUGCUUUGUUUUCAGCAUGCCACGCCCAUUCCCUCCUUCCACUAGAGUCAACUUUCUGCCCAUUAUCAGCAGGAAGCAGCUUUGAUUGAGACCAUAGCCCCUGCUCCUAAUGUACUUUGGACUUUGAUAUGGGAGAACUGCAAAGUGGUUGAUGAAUGACUGUUAAAUCCUGGCUGGGUCAUUUAUUACUGUGUGUUUGAUUUUCGAUGGAAAUUGCUAAAAUUUUAUAUGUUUAUAAUAUGUAUCUGCAUUAUGUACUUGGUUACUAUAUGUUCCCUUCAGAACAUGUAAUUGUUUGAGGGAUCUUUAGAAAACCCCUAUUGUACUAGUCUAUAUAUAGGAACUUUAAUUCACUCUCAGGACUUAUACAUGGGAUAGUUUCUUGAAAAUUUAUUUAUUCCUCCUUGGAUGAUUCCUGCAAUUAAAAAAAAAAAAAAAAA